GACGAACGCUGGCGGCGUGCUUAACACAUGCAAGUCGAACGAUGAAGCUGGAGCUUGCUCUGGUGGAUUAGUGGCGAACGGGUGAGUAACACGUGAGUAACCUGCCCUGGACUCUGGGAUAACCCCGAGAAAUCGGAGCUAAUACCGGAUAGGACCUUGGAUCGCAUGAUCUGGGGUGGAAAGUUUUUCGGUCUGGGAUGGACUCGCGGCCUAUCAGCUUGUUGGUGAGGUAAUGGCUCACCAAGGCAUCGACGGGUAGCCGGCCUGAGAGGGUGACCGGCCACACUGGGACUGAGACACGGCCCAGACUCCUACGGGAGGCAGCAGUGGGGAAUAUUGCACAAUGGGCGCAAGCCUGAUGCAGCAACGCCGCGUGCGGGAUGACGGCCUUCGGGUUGUAAACCGCUUUUAGUAAGGAAGAAGCCGCAAGGUGACGGUACUUGCAGAAAAAGGACCGGCUAACUACGUGCCAGCCGCCGCAGUAACAC
rnacentral:rRNA from 1 species